ACUCCUCAUCGCAUGGUGGGGGGUGGAAAGCUUUAUUGUGGUUUUGGAUGGACUCGCGGCCUAUCAGCUUGUUGGUGAGGUAAUGGCUCACCAAGGCGACGACGGGUAGCCGGCCUGAGAGGGUGACCGGCCACACUGGGACUGAGACACGGCCCAGACUCCUACGGGAGGCAGCAGUGGGGAAUAUUGCACAAUGGGCGAAAGCCUGAUGCAGCGACGCCGCGUGAGGGAUGACGGCCUUCGGGUUGUAAACCUCUUUCAGUAGGGAAGAAGCGAAAGUGACGGUACCUGCAGAAGAAGCGCCGGCUAACUACGUGCCAGCAGCCGCGGUAAUACGUAGGGCGCAAGCGUUAUCCGGAAUUAUUGGGCGUAAAGAGCUCGUAGGCGGUUUGUCGCGUCUGCCGUGAAAGUCCGGGGCUCAACUCCGGAUCUGCGGUGGGUACGGGCAGACUAGAGUGAUGUAGGGGAGACUGGAAUUCCUGGUGUAGCGGUGAAAUGCGCAGAUAUCAGGAGGAACACCGAUGGCGAAGGCAGGUCUCUGGGCAUUAAC
rnacentral:rRNA from 1 species